UGAUCCCAGUAAAGCUGUCCUGGAAGAUGUUGCUCAGCUCUGGACAGGAGGCUUGCCCACACACCCUGAACCGUACUCAUCCACCCAAUGACAAGCAGUCCUGAAAAGAACAGGCUCCUUACACAAGCUGGUCUGUGACUUGGAGAAGACGUUCCCUCUGUGUGUGGCAGAUCUCAAGGUAGCAAGAAGGAAGGGGGUGAAAGGUGGAGGUUCGCACUUACUUCCAGGAAAAGUUAGACGACCACACGACAAGGAACUAAAAGAAAUCAAGACUCUCCACCACCUUUUCCACCUCC